AUAAGUGGGGCAAAGACACCAA
rnacentral:miRNA from 1 species